GACGAACGCUGGCGGCGUGCCUAAUACAUGCAAGUAGAACGCUGAAGGAGGAGCUUGCUUCUCCGGAUGAGUUGCGAACGGGUGAGUAACGCGUAGGUAACCUGCCUGGUAGCGGGGGAUAACUAUUGGAAAUGAUAGCUAAUACCGCAUAAGAGUAGAUGUCGCAUGACAUUUGCUUAAAAGGUGCAACUGCACCACUACCAGAUGGACCUGCGUUGUAUUAGCUAGUUGGUGAGGUAACGGCUCACCAAGGCAACGAUACAUAGCCGACCUGAGAGGGUGAUGGGCCACACUGGGACUGAGACCCGGCCCAGACUCCUACGGGAGGCAGCAGUAGGGAAUCUUCGGCAAUGGACGGAAGUCUGACCGAGCAACGCCGCGUGAGUGAAGAAGGUUUUCGGAUCGUAAAGCUCUGUUGUAAGAGAAGAACGAGUGUGAGAGUGGAAAGUUCACACUGUGACGGUAUCUUACCAGAAAGGGACGGCUAACUACGUG
rnacentral:rRNA from 1 species